CAGUAGCCGCGGUAAUACGGAGGGAGCUAGCGUUGUUCGGAAUUACUGGGCGUAAAGCGCGCGUAGGCGGUUAUUUAAGUCAGGGGUGAAAGCCCGGUGCUCAACACCGGAACAGCCCUUGAGACUGGAUAACUUGAAUCCAGGAGAGGUGAGUGGAAUUCCGAGUGUAGAGGUGAAAUUCGUAGAUAUUCGGAAGAACACCAGUGGCGAAGGCGGCUCACUGGACUGGUAUUGACGCUGAGGUGCGAAAGCGUGGGGAGCAAACAGGAUUAGAUACCCCCGUAGUCCCUGUCUCUUAUAC
rnacentral:rRNA from 1 species